AGCAGCCGCGGUAAUUCCAGCUCCAAUAGCGUAUAUUAAAGUUGUUGCAGUUAAAAAGCUCGUAGUUGAAUUUCGGGAUCAAGUCGUCGGUCGUGCUUAGGUACGUACUGGCGUCAUUGAUUUCUCCCUUCUGACGAACCAUGAUGUCAUUAAUUUGGUGUUAUGGGAAAUCAGGACUUUUACUUUGAAAAAAUUAGAGUGUUUAAAGCAGGCUCACGCUUGAAUACAUUAGCAUGGAAUAAUGAAAUAGGACGUUCGAUCCUAUUUUGUUGGUUUUAGGAUCAACGUAAUGAUUAAUAGGGAUAGUUGGGGGCAUUAGUAUUCAAUUGUCAGAGGUGAAAUUCUUGGAUUUAUUGAAGACUAACUACUGCGAAAGCAUUUGCCAAGGAUGUUUUCAUUAAUCAAGAACGAAAGUUAGGGGAUCGAAGACGAUCAGAUACCGUCGUAGUC
rnacentral:rRNA from 1 species